GGCGCAUUGGUCAAGUGGCUAAGAUAACAGACUUUCAAUCUGUGGUCGGUGGGUUCGACUCCCCCAUGCGUCACCA
rnacentral:tRNA from 1 species